UACGGGGGGGGCAAGCGUUGUUCGGAAUUACUGGGCGUAAAGGGCUCGUAGGCGGCCAACUAAGUCAGACGUGAAAUCCCUCGGCUUAACCGGGGAACUGCGUCUGAUACUGGAUGGCUAGAGUUUGGGAGAGGGAUGCGGAAUUCCAGGUGUAGCGGUGAAAUGCGUAGAUAUCUGGAGGAACACCGGUGGCGAAGGCGGCAUCCUGGACCAACACUGACGCUGAGACGCGAAAGCGUGGGGAGCGAACCGG
rnacentral:rRNA from 1 species